GCCGACAUGGCCUAAUGGAUAAGGCGCUUCCCUCCUAAGGAAGAGAUUGGGGGUUCGAGUCCCCCUGUUGGUG
rfam:Stylonychia lemnae strain 130c genome assembly, contig: Contig17074